GUACUGGUUGCGGCUGGAGAGGGCGAGGCCGUCUGAAGCGCGGCCGGUAUCGACGGGCACGAUUUCCACGUUGAUGUUCAAGUCUUCAACCAGCCCU
rnacentral:tRNA from 1 species